rnacentral:rRNA from 1 species
GAUGAACGCUGGCGGCGUGCCUAAUACAUGCAAGUCGAGCGAAGGAUGUAGCAAUACGUCUUUAGCGGCGAACGGGUGAGUAACGCGUUGGUGACCUGCCCCGAAGUGUGGGAUAACAGCUCGAAAGGGUUGCUAAUACCGCAUGUGGUUUUUCGGAUUAGAUGCCCGAAUUUCUAAAGGAGAAAUUCGCUUCGGGAGGGGCCUGCGUCCCAUCAGCUAGUUGGUAGGGUAACGGCCUACCAAGGCAGUGACGGGUAGGGGACCUGAGAGGGUGGCCCCCCACAAUGGAACUGAAACACGGUCCAUACACCUACGGGUGGCAG